rnacentral:rRNA from 1 species
UACGAAGGGGGCGAGCGUUGUUCGGAUUUACUGGGCGUAAAGGGCGCGCAGGCGGCUCGUUUUGUCAGGCGUGAAAGCCCCGGGCUUAACCUGGGGACUGCGUUUGAUACGGACGGGCUAGAGUUCGGGAGAGGAGAGUGGAAUUCCCAGUGUAGAGGUGAAAUUCGUAGAUAUUGGGAAGAACACCGGUGGCGAAGGCGGCUCUCUGGACCGAGACUGACGCUGAGGCGCGAAAGCGUGGGGAGCAAACAGG